CAUGGAACAAAGUUACGUCUCCAUUUGCUGCAGACCUACCAUUUUCUCAGUAUCUUCUAUUUCGUUUUGUUAUUUCCUGCCCUGCCUCGCCAGGUCAUUGGGGAUGACCAGAACCCCCAAACAAGAAUGCCUAUGUCACCCCACCAAAGGUUUGUUUAUGGUCCCGAUUUUGCUUUCCUGAAUAAAAGGGCACAUCACAGUGGCUUUAGAAAGCAACAAAUUCCUCCUCCUCCGUCAGUCCCCGAGAUUUGAAUGAAGAAAGAGAGAUUAGGAAACCCUAGGGAAGAGAAUCUUUUUUAAAGGAUCUCCAGUUUCAACAUGUAAUUUCUCCCCUUUCUCAAAAUUAUCUCCUUCCCUCUGGUGGUGUUAAAGGGAAGAUUGGGGAAUAGCAGGAUCCCUACGAGGGGUGCUGAGCUGGUUUAAUGAAUUUUCCCUUGGCCAAUUGAGUUAAUCAGUAGGAAAAUAAGAGGUGUAUUUUCGUUUUUUCCCUUUUUGCCAGACUUCUCUGCUUCCCUUCGUACUCUCCAUUCAUUGUUCCUCAUCUCCACUCUAUAAAGCCAAAGAGCUUUCGUUAUGUGAUGAGUAGCAACCAACUAGCAAGAGAAAUCUGAGUUUGCAUCUCAGAGCCACCCUUUGAAGACUGUGAAGAUCCAGUGACAGCCGUAGAGACCCUGUGGAUUGCGGGAGCCAACACGCAGAGUAGGGCUUACGGGCUCCAGGACUUGGUGGGGAAUAACGCCCAGAAGCUGAAGGAAGAAAUGCAAGAAGGAAGGGAGAUCGGUGGAGAGAAGUGAUGGAGGAGCCCCAUAGAGGAGAAGGCAACAUGAAAAUGUAGCAAACAGAGAGAAAGGGAGGGAAGGAGUGACGGAGGGAGGGAGGGAGAGAGGUGCGGCCAGGAGCCAAUGUAUGCAGACAGCUGCCAGAAGCCGGAAGAGGCAAGGGAUGAAUUCUCCCCUCCAGCCUCUGGGGAGUGUGACCCUCCUGACACACUUGAUUUUGACUUCUGGCUUCCAGAACUCUAGAGAAGAUGUUUCCUUCAUUCAAAGCCACCCAAUGUCUGUGGUACUUUGUUAUGGCAGCCACAGGAAACUAGCAAGGUUUUGGUAUGAGGAAGUGGAACGUGGAGGAAAAGUUUAGGAGGGUCUAAACAGAAAGCCCUUAUCACUGAGCCUCAGCUGCUGAAGGAACCCUUUAAUCAUGACCGACCUUCUGGAAGAAUAAUAGAGAUUCAGGGCCAGACGUGGGUACUGAACAAGGAGGAAAUACUGCCAGCGGCUACCCUACCCCUUCCUGUUGGCUGUGAGUGGCUUUAAUCUGCUUCCACUGUCUUUUUGAAGUCUGGAGAUAUUUGAGUACAGCCUAAUUAGGUAGUUGUGGGCUGAGAGAGAAUUUAUUUUUGUCAAACACACAGCAUGGAGGGAAAUGUGUCAAUGAUGCUUAUGGAGCAAGCUGGCCUGUUUGGUACCUGUGGCUCUUGGGUCACCCUGGGUUUUCCUUGUAGUGACACCCUCUCAGAGUCCUUAUGGAUGGAAGGUCUAAGUGAAUCUUCUUGGCCCCCUUUCUCUGUGGCAGUAUAGAGUUUAGGUCUGAAACUGCAGUGAACUGGAUUUAAGUCUUGUCUCUGUAGGUUAUGAGCUGGGUGACAACCUUAAGCACAUGACACCCUCUCUGAGCCUCAGUUCUCCCAGCUUUACAAUGGGGAUAUUAAGCUUAGCCUAAUUAAAUGAAA
rnacentral:lncRNA from 1 species